rnacentral:rRNA from 1 species
GACGAACGCUGGCGGCAUGCCUAAUACAUGCAAGUCGAGCGAACAGAUGAAGUGCUUGCACUUCUGACGUUAGCGGCUAACGGGUGAGUAACACGUAAGGAAUCUACCUAUAAGCGGGGGAUAACAUUCGGAAACGGGUGCUAAUACCGCAUAAUAUCUUCUUCCGCAUGGAAGAAGAUUGAAAGACGGCUCUGAUGUCACUUAUAGAUGACCUCGCGGGGCAUUAGUUAGUUGGUGGGGUAACGGCCUACCAAGACGAUGAUGCACAGCCGACCUGAGAGGGUGAUCGGCAACAUUGGGACUGAGACACGGCCCAAACUCCUACGGGAGGCAGCAGUAGGGAAUCUUCCGGAAUGGGCGAAAGCCUGACGGAGCAAUGCCGCGUGAGUGAAGAAGGCCUUCGGGUCGUAAAACUCUGUUAUAAGAGAAGAACAAAUUGUAGAGUAACUGCUACAGUCUUGACGGUAUCUUAUCAGAAAGCCACGGCUAACUACGGGCCAGCAGCCGCGGUAA